rnacentral:rRNA from 1 species
UGCAAGUCGAGCGGAUGAGUGGAGCUUGCUCCAUGAUUCAGCGGCGGACGGGUGAGUAAUGCCUAGGAAUCUGCCUGGUAGUGGGGGACAACGUUUCGAAAGGAACGCUAAUACCGCAUACGUCCUACGGGAGAAAGUGGGGGAUCUUCGGACCUCACGCUAUCAGAUGAGCCUAGGUCGGAUUAGCUAGUUGGUGAGGUAAAGGCUCACCAAGGCG